rnacentral:rRNA from 1 species
UACGUAGGGUGCAAGCGUUAAUCGGAAUUACUGGGCGUAAAGCGUGCGCAGGCGGUUGUGCAAGACAGAUGUGAAAUCCCCGGGCUUAACCUGGGAACUGCAUUUGUGACCGCACAGCUAGAGUGCGGCAGAGGGGGAUGGAAUUCCGCGUGUAGCAGUGAAAUGCGUAGAGAUGUGGAGGAACACCGAUGGCGAAGGCAGCCCCCUGGGUCAAGAUUGACGCUCAUGCACGAAAGCGUGGGGAGCAAACAGG